rnacentral:rRNA from 2 species
AAUAGUUACAACUUUCAACAACGGAUCUCUUGGUUCUGGCAUCGAUGAAGAACGCAGCGAAAUGCGAUAAGUAGUGUGAAUUGCAGAAUUCAGUGAAUCAUCGAAUCUUUGAACGCACAUUGCGCCCCUUGGUAUUCCAUGGGGCAUGCCUGUUCGAGC